CCUACGGGUGGCUGCAGUGGGGAAUAUUGGACAAUGGGCGAAAGCCUGAUCCAGCCAUGCCGCGUGUGUGAAGAAGGCCUUCGGGUUGUAAAGCACUUUCAGUGGGGAAGAAAGCCUUGGGGCUAAUACCCUCGAGGAAGGACAUCACCCACAGAAGAAGCACCGGCUAACUCCGUGCCAGCAGCCGCGGUGAUACGGAGGGUGCGAGCGUUAAUCGGAAUUACUGGGCGUAAAGCGCGCGUAGGCGGUCUGAUAAGCCGGUUGUGAAAGCCCCGGGCUUAACCUGGGAACGGCAUCCGGAACUGUCAGGCUAGAGUGCAGGAGAGGAAGGUAGAAUUCCCGGUGUAGCGGUGAAAUGCGUAGAGAUCGGGAGGAAUACCAGUGGCGAAGGCGGCCUUCUGGACUGACACUGACGCUGAGGUGCGAAAGCGUGGGUAGCAAACAGGAUUAGAUACCCUGGUAGUC
rnacentral:rRNA from 1 species